rnacentral:rRNA from 1 species
GAUGAACGCUGGCGGCGUGCCUAAUACAUGCAAGUCGAGCGAACGGACGAGAAGCUUGCUUCUCUGAUGUUAGCGGCGGACGGGUGAGUAACACGUGGAUAACCUACCUAUAAGACUGGGAUAACUUCGGGAAACCGGAGCUAAUACCGGAUGAUAUUUUGAACCGCAUGGUUCAAAAGUGAAAGACGGUCUUGCUGUCACUUAUAGAUGGAUCCGCGCUGCAUUAGCUAGUUGGUAAGGUAACGGCUUACCAAGGCAACGAUGCAUAACCGACCUGAGAGGGUGAUCGGCCACCCGAGAACUGAGACACGGUCCAGAAUCCUACGGGAGGCAGCAGUAGGGAAUCUUCCGCAAUGGGCGAAAGCAUGACGGAGCAACGCCGCGUGAGUGAUGAAGGUCUUCGGAUCGUAAUGCUCUGUUAUUAGGGAAGAACAUAUGUGUAAGUAACUGUGCACAUCUUGACGGUACCUAAUCAGAAAGCCACGGCUAACUACGUG